UCAGUUUGUAUAUAAAUGUUAUUAAUUUUUUAAGGCAAUCAAACCAUGUCUGACUUGUUUGAGAAGCUGAAAAUUUCCUCUAUUAAUGGCGUUUGGUAUUGAAAAUGUAUAAUAUCGGUUUACGAAUCCAUCAAGACCUCAUACAUAUUACAUCCGGAAUAUUGCUUAAGUAGUGUACGAAAGCUUUCACAAAAUCACCUGAUGAAUGCUAAUAAACCCUUCGGUGUAACGAGGACUAUGAAAGUAGAAUCUUAUUAAGCUCCGCAACUUUUUUGGAAGAUUUCAAUGAGUAAACCGUUAAUGGUAUCUUCAUAUUGUUUGUCAGCAAUUUACGUUUUCUAAAUUACCAACACUUCUGAUCGUCAACAUAAGAAAACCUUCCGUAGUAUAAGUUUGAGAUCUGUGUGAUGAUACUAUGCUGGAGUUUAAGGACACAAUUGUGUGAAAUCUAAGAAGAGCAGUGAACCUAGAAUCAUAUACACAUUAAGGGAGUAAUGUUAUUCUACAUCUACAUUCCUAAGGAGGAUGUCUCCUUCAGUUAUUAGUAUCGGAGUUAGUAUACAGUGGCUUUGAACCACAUUCAUAGAGACACCAUCAAUACCGCAGUUUUAAGUUACCGCAUGAAUGUCGUUCAUGGAGGUAGAGGCCAACCGCACAUAGCAGAAAUAAAAAAGAUCCUGCCGCUGAGCAACAGCCUUAACGCCCACUGGUCCCGCAUAUACUGCACCGUCACUUUUUUAUGCCCAGCAUGUGGUCAGUGUCUCUAUGACACCCACCUCAUAUUCAAAUGUAAUGAUCACCCCACUUCACUUAGCCCAAUGGAUUUAUGAAUUAAUCCUACUGAAGUAUCUUAAUUUCUUGGCUUGGACCUAAACUCAGGACUCCCGGAUUAAAAAUUGUAUAGUUUAAGUUGUUACAACUGCAACUAACUAACAUCCCUUAGUAACACUGUUUGGAAAUUUUAAGGAAACUGCACCAGGAAAGUUUUUAAAAAUACGUAUUUUAAAGACAGUGUUAAAAAAAUAUUUUCCUACUAGAAGAAGUUUUAAAACCUCUAGGGGCAAAUGUCGUCGUCUGAGAAUUUGCCGCCUUUUUAGGGAAAAAGAAAACAAGUGGAAUUUGAUUUGACAUAAAUGCUCUAAACUCAAUAAAACGCUGAAAAAGAGAGAAAUAAAUAAAACACAAAAUAUUUCAAUUUCAUAUACACACAGCAUUUUUUGUUUUAUUAUUACUAAUGGUAUUAAACAAUUUUUGGGCAGAUAGAUAUAUUGGAAAUAAAUUUGAUUAAAAUUAAUAUUUAUACAAUUCUUGUUGUUAAAUUAAUUAUAAAUACAAUUUGUUUAUAGGUUGCGGAGGCAAAAACAAUUGUAGUAGUAUUAGUUCUUGCACACGUAGGAAUAAAGUAAAAUAGAAAAAAAAAAUAUGUAGUACAAAGAAAAAAAAAUAAAAAUAAUAUUUUACCAAAAAGUAAUUC